AAGACUAUACUUUCAGGGAUCAUUUCUAUAGUAUGUUAUUGUAGGCCUGUAUUGCUAUGAACCCUCUUAGGGU
rnacentral:snoRNA from 1 species